AAAUAAGACAUUAUUAUCAAUACGGUAUUGAACCAUCACCAGAUUGUGGAUCCACAAUUAUAUUGUUUCUCUGUGAAAUAUCAUUUUUGGCAAGCAGCCUUUGAAUGAACUUUGGAAUGCCAUUCACUAUAAUAUAAAUGAUAUUUUAGUAAUAUCAGUUAUUGUGUGUAUAUAUAUAUAUUUUAAAGGCAAAUUUUAAAGUCUAAUUUGUUCUUAAAUGUAACAUUAUCAGGUGAAAUAUAUUAUCUAAUAAAUUAUUCCAUGAAAAAAUUCAGCAAAUGGCUGAGAGAAAAAAAAUCUUAGAUACAACAAGGUUGAGUGUAUUCUAAUAGCAUGUGGAUAAAUUACUCAAAUGUAUAAUCUAAGAGUAGGAAAAUAGAAUAUAAAGUGAAAUGGUGCAUACAUUAACAUGACAUGAAUUAUAUUGUUUUUAGAUAUAGAGUGUCUGUUUCUCAAUUUAUAGAUGGAUACAGAGGUUCAGUGAGUGCUUUCCUGGCUUCCUACUAUUAUGAAAACAGCCAAUAAUUAUCUUAAUACUUCCUGAAAUGGUCUACAAGUAACUCAAGUUGAUGACAACUUGAUUGGUGCCAAACGACUUGGCAAAGAGUCAGAGGCUUCUUUGAAUACAGCCAUUUGUGCUGACCUGCUCUGUAACUCAAUAUAAUGUGAUCUGACUGAUGCUGCAUAACGUUAGGCACCUAGUACCAAAUUGGGAAGCAUUGCUCUCUCAUUCUCAUCAACAUGAGAAAAAAUAUGGCUCUGAACUUUAUGUGUUGAAAGGGAUUCAUUUUCUUCUAGCUAUUUGCUAGUUUAACAUGAGAUCAUUGAGCCUGGAACAACUGGCCUAUGUAAAUGAGCCAGAUAUGCCCAGAGGGACUGUUGAUGCUUCACCAACCAGAGCCGAUAAAUGACAGAGAGUUGAAAACAUAGACAGGAUUUUUUCCAGGUGUAAUUUCCCUGUGAAGUGAUAAUUUAGCGAAAUCUACUCCUGUAUUCUAAAUAUCACUGUUUUUAAAGGCUCUUUAGUCUCAACUCUUUCCAUUCCUACCUGUUAUUAAGGACGAAAAGAUAAUCCACUUAUUUACUUAAAAUUAUCCUUAUGAGGUUGGGCAUGGUGUCUCACACCUGUAACCCAAGCACUUUGGAAUGCUGAGGCAGGAGGAUUGCUUGAGGCCAGAAGUUCAAGACCAGCUUGUGCAACUGAGUGAGGCCCUGUCUCUACAAAAUUUUUAAAAAUUAGCUUGCAUGGUGGCACACCUCUAGUCCUAGCUAUACAGGAGGCUACAGCCAGAGAAGAGCUUGCGCGGAAGCAUUUCCAGCUGCAGUGUACUAGAAUCACACCACGCAGUUCAACCCCAGCCGCAGAGUGAGGGGGUCUCCAAAAAGAAAUCCCAGUGACAUUUAUGGAAGUAGAUUAUUUCCCUAAACAUGCCAAUUUAACAAUCUUUGCCAAGCAGUAAACCGACAUGGUGGUGGGAUUUGGGACAGCAUGGCAUGACUUCUAGUUGUUAUCAUGGUGACAUUUUUGUGAGCUUUCUAUUUCAAUAUGUAUUACAUGGAUCAAUUUUUUUCUAUUUUGGUACAAUCUUCUUUUCAUUGCCACAUGAUGAACUUACUUUUCUGAAAAGUAUGUUAUUUUUAGUUGCUUAAAAAGAUCAUGUUGGCCAGGUGUGGUGGCUCACGCCUGUAAUUCCAGCACUUUGGGAGGCCGAGUCAAGUGGAUCAACUGAGAUCAGGAGUUCAAGACCAGCCUGGCCAACAUGGUGAAACCCUGUCUCUACUAAAAAUACAAAACAAAAAAGAAAAUAGCUGGGCAUGGUGGUAGACACCUGUAAUCCCAGCUAUUUGCGAGGCUGAGACAGGAGAAUCUCUUGAACCUGGGAGGUGGAGGUUGCAGUGAGCCCAGAUCACACCAUUGCACUCCAGCCUGGGCAACAAGAGCAAAACUCCGUCUCAAAAAAAAAAAAAAAAA
rnacentral:lncRNA from 1 species